GUUGCCCGGGACUAGGAGCUUAAGUGAAGAGUCAGAUUCUGAGGAAGAUGAACCCACAAAGAAGAAAACUAUCCUUCAGGGAUCCAGUGAGGGGACUGGUUUGUCUGCCUUGCUUCCCCAACCUAAAAACCUGACUGUGAAAGAGACUAACAGGUUGCUCCUGCCCCAUGCCUUCUCCCGCAAACCCUCGGAUGGCUCCCCUGAUACUAAGCCCUCCAGACUGGCUUCUAAGACCAAGACUUCCUCUCUUGCCCCUGUUGUGGGCACCACAACCACCACUCCGUCGCCCUCUGCUAUCAAGGCUGCUGCCAAGAGUGCUGCCCUGCAGGUGACAAAGCAGAUCACGCAGGAAGAAGACGACAGUGAUGAGGAAGUAGCCCCCGAAAACUUUUUCUCCCUCCCUGAAAAGGCUGAGCCACCUGGAGUUGAGCCAUACCCUUACCCCAUCCCCA
rnacentral:lncRNA from 1 species